rnacentral:lncRNA from 1 species
AUGAAGAACAAGUACAUGCACGCGGUGAAUUCAACUAUAGAAAUGAAUGCUGCCGCAACCGACAAACAACCAAGCGCAGCUCAAAGCCCACUAAAUUGUGGCACAAAGAAGAAGAAGGUUUUAUCAGCGGCAUCUCGUGAGUCAAAAAUCAAAUAUGAUAAAAGACGGUCAGGGACCAGAUUAAGUGUCGGAUAUGCGUUGGAGGAAUGGAGGUUGCUUCAACUAGAUCUGGGACUGAAAAAAGAUGCGGACAUGGCUCAUUUCCUAGUGGCCAGCUACCGGAAGAAGCAACCUCCUGAAACUGGAACUCGGGGAUGUAAUCUGAAGAGAACCUCAACACCCCGCAAGCGAACAGCAGCUAAAAUUUCUCAUCGGUUAUCUCCAAUUAAACCAGUAUCUGAGUGUCAACCUUCGAGUUGUAUUGUGCAUGGCUGUGGCAAAAAGUCAGAGCCUUAUGUGAGAACCCUGCAUCAGUUUCCAGAAGAUUUGGAGACCGUAAAAGUGUGGAAAGAGUUUGUGCAGAAGACCACCACAGAAUGGGAUGGUCAGGUCUCUCCGUGGAAGAAGAUCUGUAGUGAGCAUUUUGAGCCAAGCUGUUAUGCAAAUCACACAGCCUGGUUGAUGCGUUCCGUUCAGAAGUUGGAACUGAGAGAUGAGUUUCAAGUCCCAACAAUAUAUCCUACUGAGGAAACAUCUUCACAUGAUGCGGGAAGUUUGGAUCAACCACAGCAAGCUGCAGUUGGGGGGAUAGAGCCUACUCGGAUUCCAGAGUCUCCCAGUCAAAACACGAAAGUUGUAGAGGGAAAUGCGCAACAACCGACGACGCUUCAGCUGCCACCAGAGCUCCACCAAACACCCCUGUCUGUUCCAUCUUUCUGCGUAACCCCUUUGGUUCUAUAUACAGCACCAGCAACACCGUACCAAGUGCAGCCUGGCCUCACAGGAAGUGUGAAUGUUGUUGGAGAAAAGUCAUGGAAAAGCAAAGGCUGUCAAACAGAAAGUGUUACAUUUGCUGAUGGAAAUUGCCACAUCAUAAAACCACGUCUGCCAAAAGCCGAAACAGCAGAGGACACAUACUCCAGAGACAGUGAUGUUUGUGAUGAAGACGAAGAUGUCAGCAGGUACCACAAUAAAGAUGUGGAGGAUAAGCUAUUGUUGUAG